GCCGUUACCAAAGAAGACUAACGUUAACGUUUUUGGGAUUUAAAUUUAGCUCUGGCUGGGGAGGAGAGGAUGACGAGCUGGACCCCUCCAGAGUGGACAUCAGGGUGGGCAAGAUCAUCAGUGUGGAGAAGCAUCCAGAUGCUGAUUCACUGUACCUGGAGAAACAAUUU